GGCGGCACCCGGGCUGUCCCCGAGAGUCCGCGGUGGUGCCUGCGCGGUGACACAAUUCCGACUCUUGCCGCGACCUGGUCUCGUGGCCUCCUGAUGAACUUUUUUUUUUUUUUUCCUUCUGGAGGAGUUUCUUCUUGUUUUGUGCUCUUCAAUGGGAAGAAGAUAGGGCUGUAGCGUUUAAGUGAUGUGUUCAGGCCGGCUUUAAGUUGUUUUUGUCUAUUUGUUUAGCCAUGUUAAGGAAGAGCUGUGGGAGUGCAGCGUCUCCUGUAAGCCUGGUGCUGAGCUGGCUCAAGCAGUGCGGGUCGGAAGGUGCCUGCGGGAGAUGGGGGGUGCUGGUGGAACGGGCCUCGGGAGCAUCAGUCAGGACCUUCUCUCGGAAAACAGGAAAACAGCUGCCAUGCUUCCAUCUCCUGGUGCUUAGCACUGGGUGCCUGUAGGAGGAACGCUUUUCCAUGUGGCUUCACUACUAGAGACUAGUUAGUCUUCCUUUGAAAUCUGGGGUACAAAUCCCAAACUGUGCUCUUGGGCACAGAUUUACCAUGUUCUUCAAUGAAGAUACCAGCCCUGUGCUAAAUGAGCUGCUGUCUGCCAGAUCCAGAUUCGGUCUUGGCUGUGACCCCUCAGAAAUGCCAAGUGUUUCCAAGGAAGCAGGCCUCUGCUGGAAGCUGAGAGGCCCGUGUGUGAGAGCAGCCACAGUAAUCCUGGGUUUUCCCCAGGAAAAAGGACUGAGAACAGAAUCCCUGUUCUUCAUGAUCUCCUCAUGUGGACAUACAGCAUUAAAAACAGUUGCACCUUAUUCUUUCAGUGACAACUUUCUGGCAGAGGCAGAAGCAGUAAUGUUUAUACUGUGAUAUCAAACAGUGCCCUUUCUUCUCCACUCUUGCCCAUCCCCACUGAAACAGUAAAAUAUCAGGAAAAUUCACGGCUAGAAUCUCUGUCUUGCUGCAGUCAGAUUGUGUUUAGCUCUAAAUCCUGGUCUGAAUACAACUAAUACUGUCAAAGAUUUUGGUUUUUCAAAUUUGAGAGAAAAAUGGUGGACUCAGGCCCAUCUUUAGUGGGGGAUCUAUUAUCAGAUGCCAGGGGUAGUUAGAUCAGAACAUAAUUACAUACAUCAGUGCAAUUUUCAGUUGUUAGUCAUUCUUCCCUAAUGGUGAAAUGCGUGACAGUUUCAGGUUUUGAUUGGCACCGCCAUUACCUGCUCUUAGUAAACAGAUUAUUGGCCUCUUUUUUUUUUAAUAGAAAUUUGCCAUCUUCACCUUGCACACAGUCUUGUUACCCAGCCUGCUCUAAUGUGUGCUGCUACUAAUAAAUGAGCAGCUGCCAUGGCUACUGUAGCCAUACAAAGAAAAGCUCUUCGGCUUUUAAGGAGUGGCUGGAGGCAGGUAAUUAACCACAGCUUCACUCCUUGCACUCAAAGCGUCUGGAAAGCAAUGCACCGGGCUUCCCGGUGGAUUUUCCUUUUAUCAGCACUUACUUCAAGGAUUGCAAUGUCGCUGCCAGUUCUGGCUGCAGCAAGAGAGUAAGAAAAAGCAAGGCAAAUCCAGUUAUAAUUAAGCUGGUGAUAACAAAGGGAUCUUAAAAAUAUAAUAGCAGAUUAAUCUUUGGAGAACUUCCUUCUCCUGCUUCCUUUCCCCCAUUUUGGGCUUUACUCCUUCAUGCUGUUUUCUGUUCACUGCUUCAAGAAAUGCAUCUCUAAUGCAUCCAGGAGUAGGAGGGUGUUCACCAAACAAUCUUGGCUCUUUUCAUACUAAUGCAUUGUCAUUUAUGCAUCUUAAUCCACUGGUCCUCUAUUUCCGAAGAAUCCCUGAUAUUAUAGAGCUAUUUAAAAAUAAUUUUUUAGCAUGCAGGGUAAAUCACAUCCUGCUAUGUAGCAGAUUGUUAUUUGUCUGUCAGCCUACAGUAAGAGGUCUGAUUUCUGCCCACUGACUUCACUGCAAAGUUCUCAGUUGCCUAUAAUUAGGGUAAAAUUGGGUCCAAGAGUGAUAAAUUGUAUCUUCUACAGCACAGAAGAGCGUACCCUGACUUUCAGCCAUAUCAAUCUGUUUGCAAACAACAGUGAAAUUCUUUCUGGCUCUCACUGAGCCAUGGCAACAUGAUAGGCUCUUAGACCUGUAGAUUGGAUUUCAGGUCAGAAAUUGCUACUUCCAGCUAAUUUGAAUUCUUGUAGAGGGAGGCAAAAAUUCAGUGAGAGACUUGCUGCAAACCUAUACAUCCUGGGCAAGGUGUAGGCCAAGAACUGCAGCCUCUUUGUCUCAAUAACAAAAAACUCUUACCAGGAAAGCUACUGGUAUUGGUUUAUUGGAGUAUAUUUUAUUUCUGUCUCUCUCCUUUCAUGUCUCAUUUAGAGCUUAUUCCCUUGUCUCAGAAAUUCAAACCAUUAGUAAUUGCUCUUUAAAGGUCGACAAUAAUUUUAAGUUGCUAUAAAAUUAAUCUGAAGCUGAAGUGAAGCUGAAGUUGCAAUUUCACUCAUACUCCUACUGUUCAAGGAGUAUAUUUUAAAGUGUUUGAGGCUUUGGGCCAAGCAUUGGUAUAAAUCAAAAUAAAUACUUGGCUGACUUGCUUGGGUGGCUUCCUUUGGCAAUCUGUUUCUAGCUCACAGUUUGGCCUUCUUUGCAACUGAGAUACCUGGUUCUUUUUCUGCCAGCUUUUUUUUUUUUAGUUGUUUGUUUUUGCUCUUGUUUUUGGUUGCUGUUUUUGCAUUUUCUGUCUGAAGCAAAAAGUAUCUUGGUUCAACAGUCUGACAUUGCACUUCAUGAUUUCUCAACCCUCCAGUCAAGAGUUUUCAAGCUUCCUUGACUUUUGGCACUGCAAUCCACAUGUUUAAAAAAAUACUGCUUUUUACCUAACUUGUGUAGGUCUCUAUAAUUAAUUUUUUUCCAAGACAAAGAAUUAUGGUGAUAACUGCUGGCAUUGACUCACACUGCUGUUUGUGCCCAGCCUGCUUACUGACUGACUUCCAUCAGGCUGCUAAUGUAAGGUUAGCGAGACUCUGCAAGAAAAUAAGCUUCUUAAAGAUGUCCUUCUUUUAAACAUAGGUUUCAGUCCAUCUUCAUCCCUUCCCCAACCUCUCCUGAUUCCUGAACUGUGUUUUCUGUGGCCUCACUCCUAAGGCAUGUUUGAGCCUUGCAUAAUGCCUGACUGGGGAGGAGGCAAAUAGUGAUGAAAGCCAGCUGCCUCAGCCAGCUGGGCAACUGAGUUCUGGGGAAGCAGUUUUUGUCCUUGGUCUCCACCACCCCCUUCUGCACCAGUACUGACUGUGGGAGCCAGCUCAGUAAGUACAGCUGAGGAACUAUGGCUGACUUGGGAUGACUGGAUUCCUCUUGAGAGCUUAAGUUCCAGCUGUUCUCUGGGCUUCUGCACCCUUUAGAAAGGAUGAGUGGGAUGUUUUGUUGUCCUGUUGUUUUCAACUGAUUUAAGUAUCUUUUAAACUUGGGGACACUUGGGGAUAACAAGUGAAGUGAAACAGUUGUCUUAGCAUCUUUUGAAAAUACUUCAAACAGCAGCAGAGUGCAACUUACAGGGAAAAUAUUUCCCAUUUUGGGGUGAUUGUGUUUGCAACCCUGGGUCAUUUCGAGAAUCUCUCAGCAUGCCCACUGCAGACCACCAGAAAAAGAAAAAAAAAGAAAAAGGAGGAGCUAAACAGCUGAAUUUUCUACUGUAGUAGCACGCACUGUCUGGCCAAUACAUUCAUUUUGAAAAACAGCACUAUUGCAACUCAUUCUGGUCAAAAUCUGAGUGGUGAAAGAGUAGUAAGACUGAACUGGUGGGUAGGAAUUGCAUCUGCACUGCUCAGUGCUUGCUCCAGCUCUGAGACUGGGAGGAGACUUCAGGCUCCUCUUGGGCCAUACUUCUGCUGUGAAGCCAUCUGAUGGCAAAAAUACAGUAGGAAAGACCACUUCGAGAGUUAUAGCAGAUUAUUAGGAAAUGUGCCUGUGUAAGAAAAUUCUUUUUCUUUGCACCACAGAGCCAGGCACGCUCCUUGUCUUUGUGUUUUUUGGCUAUAGGGACAGAUUCUGCCUCAUAGAAGAGCAAUGUUGAUUAUCUCAAAAUACUUGCAGAGGGGCAAAGCACAGCCAAGACCCACUCUCCACCAUGUGCUGCUGGUCAGCUGGCACAACAGCAUUGUACGAAGAAAACAUUUUUUCUUCCUUCAGUGAAACACCCGUUCUUCCUUCAGUAAAAAGCCCAUUGCAUUAGAAGCAGCAGGAUGAAUUCUGCUAUGCUUCUAUCUUAUACUAAUUGUGUAUUAGGGUAUACACAAGCUAAUUUUAAAGUGAGAUUUUUCAUUCCCAGCCUGUGAAACAUUCUGUUUUCCAGCUGCUGGAAAAUAACAUGAGUUGAUCCUGUAAUGAACUCUCUCAUGUAAGAAUUGCCUCAUUACCACUAAAUGUUGCCAGCUCUUAGAUUUGUGUUCUACUUCAUAAAUUCUAAAAAGCAGCUCAAUGUAUUUAGAAGCUAUUUCCCUGUUUUAAAAGGAACCAGAGUCUAUUCCAGGACCCAAGCCAGAUCCCUUACAGUUUAAAUGAAGAUAGAUUGCCAUGAACUUAUUUCAGAAGAUGAAGAAAAAGUUUUUGCAGAGCAAUUUCUCUUUCCUUUUCUUUCCAUUUCUUUCCUUUCCUUUUCUUUCCAAACCUGUGCUUUUUGUGUUCCUGAAGAACAGUGAAUAAGUCCACAAAAUUGCACUAUUGCGUGUGCCUACUAGUCAAGUAUGACUAUAAUUUUUUUUCCAUUGACAAAAGGCAAUAAAAGGCCAGAAUCCAUUCUCUCUGAUUCUACAUACCAACUCCGCAGGGCUCAAUUCACUCUAAAAUAAAGUGGAGCUGCUUUGGAAGAGCUAAUGAGGAGGUCUGGAGGGUUUCUCCCAUCAAUUUUUAAUUUGAAUAUAAUCCAUGUCAAUGUUGAGCACUUUAGGUCAGCUCUGUGUUGCUUGACUGCUAUCAAACAAUGAAAAUCUCUUCUAAUCGUGGUGGGUGGUUACUGUGAUUUUUCAUUUUUAUUGGCAGCCUGAAGUAGUGAAUAGGAAAAAGAGGCAGUUUUAUUUUCCUGCCUAGACAGGUAUAGGCAGAGCAGCACAACAAAUUUGUACUGUUAUUCAUGUUGCAUAUGCCCAUAAGAAAUAGAAGGGAAUUUGCUAUAGGCUGCAAAAGUAGUUCACAAAAAUAAAGUUGCCAGGGAGAAACAUCAGUUCUGAACUGUGUACCUUCCAAAUAUCUGGGAAUUCUGCCUGGGCAAAACAGUAAUAUUGGAUCUUAAUAGACAGUGGUACACACGUGUUGGGUUUAACUAAUAAAUCUUUCCAAAAGGAGCUGCAGAAGAGAAAAAUCCAUAAUACAGUUGGGCACAUUUCUCAUUUCCCAUUGAAAUCUGUCUGUUUCCACCAUGUCCAGGCAGAUUUAAGCAGAUGAAAGGGUCAACUAAACAAUGAUUGUAUAUGCACAUAAAUUAAGAUAUGAGAGCGUUCAGUAAUUUAUUUUAGCUAUUAAAAUGCUGCUGUGAUUUUGACUUUGAGAAAGGAAGAGCCUUAGAAGGAUCAGAAGGCAGUAUCUCAUGGCAAACAACCAAAGCUGGAUGAGUUCAAAUAUGCAAGAGGAUGUAUUCAGUCUGUUGAAGAAGGAGCAUGCAACUGUGUCCUAAUAAAAAGAAAUAAUUUAAUUCAUUUGAUCUUCUAGGGUUCUUUCCUUCAUAAUCAAUUCAAGAGAGUAUUUUUUGAUGUUAUGACUUCUUUUUUUCAUAACAUCUUUCAAAACCAGGUCUAGUGUCAAGAACCCCUCCUUUCCAGUGUCAGCUCUGACAUUUGGCUAUUGGUUGGUUCAUUACAUCGCAUUCCUUCUGCACUGCUCCUGGGGAACUGCACAGCAGACAGCUGGGAAAGCCAUGGCUGGACCUGGACUGUGGGUUUCCCAUCCACAGAGGACAGAAAUAUGCAGAGAAGAAAAGCACCAGGUCUGACAUGACAGUGCUGAGAAAAGCUUCUAGCUGAAUUAAUAGUUACACCAGGAAACUGUUGGAUUCUCUAUGGGGACUUGUUUUACUAUCUAAACCCAGAAUUCAAUUUUGCUUGUCAUGUCCUAGCUAGGAGUACAUAAAACAGACUGAAAUUCCAAGUGUGAGUAUAGUCAAAUAUUUAAUCCUGGUACCCUAUUCAGCCAUUAUUUAGUGUUCCUUUCAGUUUUAAGAAAAAAGUGGAUUUUCUUCCAGUUUUUCCUCAGAAAACCUGUUAACAGUUAUAAUUUCUUAUUGCAAGAAGGGCUGAGAAAUUUGGCAUCUGAACAUCAUCACCUUAUGGCAUGUUGUACCUGAACAAAAACGUACCCCCACACUUCACAAAAGCAGAACCCAUGGAAGGAACAGUUGUAGCACUUUGAAGUGCUAUUUAGGCUGUCAAUUCUCUUUCCAUAAAUGUUUUUAAAUCAGGGAUUUAAAUUAAGCACUCACAUUAAUCACUCUCAAACUAAUCAGUGAAUUGAUUCCAAAUCUGGCAGCCAGUCAGUGUUGAUACAAGAUUUGCUGCACGUAUACUCACAAAUUUUGUUUGCAUGGUAUUUUAUUGCAAAUAUUAAAAGGCAAAUGCAGUUGUCAAUUAUGAAUGAAAUUGAAUCAGGAUAAACUGAAGUAUGAAACUGGUGUAUAUACAUUCAGCAGCCUGUCGGUAUGGACAAAACCACCCAUGAUUUGACAUCUUAUUUGAUAGAUCUUCUUGUAAAUAAUAAAUCACAUUUUCUUGAAAACAUGAA